rnacentral:rRNA from 1 species
GGGAAUAUUGCACAAUGGGCGCAAGCCUGAUGCAGCCAUGCCGCGUGUAUGAAGAAGGCCUUCGGGUUGUAAAGUACUUUCAGCGGGGAGGAAGGGAGUAAGAUGGUACCUUUGCUCAUUACCUUUGCUCAUUGACGUUACCCGCAGAACAAGCACCGGCUAACUCCGUGCCAGCAGCCGCGGUAAUACGGAGGGUGCAAGCGUUAAUCGGAAUUACUGGGCGUAAAGCGCACGCAGGCGGUUGUAGUCAAAUGAUAUGGGACACCCCCGCCCUCAACCUGAAAAUUGAGUUAGGGGGUNANCNGGACUCUCGUAGAGGGGGNGUAGAAUUCCAGGUGUAGCGGUGAAAUGCGUAGAGAUCUGGAGGAAUACCGGUGGCGAAGGCGGCCCCCUGGACGAAGACUGACGCUCAGGUGCGAAAGCGNGGGGAGCAAACAGGAUUAGAUACCCUGGUAGUCCACGCCGUAAACGAUGUCGACUUGGAGGUUGUGCCCUUGAGGCGUGGCUUCCGGAGCUAACGCGUUAAGUCGACCGCCUGGGGAGUACGGCCGCAAGGUUA